GCCUGCAACAUUUCCGUCGUGCCGGUUUAUUGGGUUUCCGUCCGAUUAUGUCUCGAUCAUGAGGCAAGGAUUAUUGCUUGAAGUGGAUAGUGUCGUCAGACGAUUGCCCCAUAUGCGUAGCCAACAGUUGCUCCGAUGGCGUGCGCUCCAUAAGGUGCAGGGAGUCCAGAAAAAAAAACUCUGCAAAUUGAUCAAAUUCCAUUCCCUAGUCAAUUCUUACACUUUUGAACAUGCAAAUAAACUAUGGCAUUUGUGUGAAAAAGUUGAAGUGCUGAAACGGUGGUAGUGAGGAGUGAGGACACAACGCAUCGCACCAUUGGGUUCUGCCGAACUAUGUCCUUUCGACAAAUCAUUCUUCAACCAGUCAAGUCUCCGGCCUCAGUCUCCCAUCCCACCACCUCUAUCUAUUUGUUGCUAUUCCAAAUUUCCUGCCUCCAAAUUCACAUAGUACCUGUUGAACACACAGAAUUAGACAACAUGCUGCUAGUUGAAAACCUGAAGUGCAUCUAAUAGACCCGAAAGAAGCAGUGCACACCUUGCUUCAAAAAAUGUAUUGGACUGUACUGACACUCUGACAAUGACAACGCUCCGUGCCUCGAGUUACUUGCUCUAAACAUAACAAUGCAUUACUUGCUCUAAACAUAACAAUGCAUUUUACGGUGGGAAUAAGUUUCGCAAUAAAACUGUGGAACAACGCACCAACUAAAUAUGGAUCGAGACAUUUGGAUGUUGACUCUCUCUAGUGGGUAUGGACAAGUCAAUGCGUCCACUGAACCAGUGAAAGUAGUUGGCUAGCACCGCGUAUAUUAUCUUCUCCCUUCAAUAGUAUCUCUUCAAAUCACUCAGUUCGCAUGUAUCCAACAUCAUUGUUUUCCAUUUUUGGUCGUUCCUUCCGCAUUUCCCUCCAUUUAUUUAUCUUGGUAUCAUCCACGCAAUUUCUCCCUCUUCAUAUCCCCUCCUCCUACUAUGAAUUAUUCAGUUCAGGUUUUGGUUCAUAUCUCCUCUUGCCAAAAAAUUAUCCUCCUCGUCAUAGACCAUUGUCUCACCGAAACCAUUGACUGAAAUCUCCUCGUGUAAUGUUCCCAUGUCUCAGGCCAUGCUGUUCUUCUUCCUCGUAUUGUCUCUAGGAUGCUGGCACCGAUGUUCACGACGGCAGACGGUGAGUGCUCGCCCGAGCCAUGUGGCAACUUGACCAUAUCCUCCCCGUUUUGGAUCGCGAGGUCCUGGGGAGAAUAGGUGCGCGCACUUCAGUUUGCAGGUCCACUGCAGCACCGACGGUGUCCCCUACCUCGGGUACUACAACCGCGGAUACAGGCUCCAGAUCCACGAGAUCUUCUACAUCAACCACUCCCUGCUUGUCUCUGAAAUCGACAAGCUCAUAUAUCUUGCCAGAAGACAUUGCUUUUUCUUCGUUUUUGGCACACUAGAUCAUGCUGGUACAGAGGUCAUUUCCAGAAUAAAUUAACAGAGCACGCAUGUUCCCACUAAUUGUGCGCUAUGCAGACUGAUACCGUCCACUGUUUGCAAUGUCAAAGAAACACAUGUUUUUUUGUCGAAUAUGUAUGGCUAUUAAAUCUACACAUGCCUAUAACUUUUUUGUUGUCAAACCUGUAUUUGAGCGACAUGGUAGCUCAAUCAAAAGAAACUCACAUAUGAAGUCCAUUCUAUUGUUAUUCACUAUCUUUCAAUGUAUUUUUUUGUAUAUAUGAUUGGCAGAAUAUUUAAGAUUAAUAUAUGAUACUUGUCUUUUUCUUUUGGAAAAAACAACCAAUGUGGUCCUAUUGGACGACACUGCUUUUACUCAUAAAUGUUAUGUUAUAUUCCAGGUAGUGAGAGGAGAGCGAAGAAGAUUAUACUAAUAGGUAUGCUAAAUUUUUUGCCAUCUUUUCAUAUAUAUAUAUAAUGAUUUAAAUAUUAGCCAAUUACUAUUUGCGAUUUUCUAUGACAAAAUAGGAAUUUCAAAAUUUAUCAUGUCUGUGAUCACUGAAAAUUGAAAUAAAAAUCUGGGUCAAGCAACUCUAAGCUUGUGCAUAUUAACAUGACUUAUUAAUUUAUGGCAGUUAGCUUGUUGCUACUUUUACCACCAUGUACUCUUCUAGAAAGAUAAACGUGAACUACUGAUGGUCUUGAAAUAAUGGUAUUAUAACUUCUGGUAUGCAAAAGGAAAUAACAUCUGCUUCCAUCUCAGGUAUAACAUCAGCAGCUGCAACCUUUCUCUUUGCAUGUCUUUAUGUGCUCAUAUGGCAUAGAAAUGGGAAAGGACUAUGGUUUUUCCUUUGCAAGACUAGCAGUAAAACUGAAAAAAAAUACGAGGCCAUGAUAGUGUCAUAUGGAUCCCUAGCUCCAAAAAGAUACAUGUACUCAGAGGUAAUGAAGAUAACGUCUUCUCGCAACAAUCAGCUUGGAAAAGGUGGUUACGGUGUGGUUUUCAAAGGAAAACUACAUGAUGGUCGUCUGGUUGCAGUGAAAUUCUUGCAUGACUGCAAAGGAAAUGGAGAUGAGUUUGUGAAUGAGGUUAUGAGCAUUGGCAGGACCUCUCAUGUUAAUGUUGUUAGCUUAUUUGGGUUUUGUUUGGAGGGAUCAAAACGAGCUCUUAUAUACGAGUACAUGCCCAAUGGUUCCUUGGAUAAGUACAUUUACUCAGGGAGCCCCAAAGAAAUUUUAGGAUGGGAGAGGCUCUAUGCGAUAGCAAUCGGGAUUGCUCGUGGCCUCGAAUACUUGCACUAUAGCUGUAAUACACGUAUCAUCCAUUUCGACAUCAAACCCCAAAAUAUACUUCUAGACAGGGAUUUUAGCCCAAAGAUUGCUGAUUUUGGUCUAGCUAAAUUGUGUCAUACAAAGGAGAGCAAGCUUUCAAUUACAGGAGCUAGAGGAACAAUUGGAUUCAUUGCACCAGAAGUUCACUCUCGAACCUUCGGGGUGGUUUCAACAAAGUCAGAUGUUUAUAGUUAUGGAAUGAUGCUGCUAGAGAUGGUUGGAGGGAGGAGAAAUGUAAGAUUAAUUGCUGCAAAAUCCAGUGAAAAGUAUUUCCCUGAUUGGAUCUAUGACCACUUUGCGCAAGAUGAUGGAUUAGAAGCAUGUGAAGUCACCAAUGAAAUAGAGGAGAUUGCGAGAAAGAUGAUCUUAAUUGGCUUGUGGUGUAUACAAGUAAUACCCUUGCAUCGUCCUACUAUAACAAAGGUUUUAGAAAUGUUUGAGAGAAGCUUAGAUGAUUUGGAUAUGCCGCCGAAGCAGAACUUCUGUGAACUACUGUAAGAUAUUUUCCGAUAUUUUUGUUCGUUUGUUUCUCUUUGUUUCAUUAUUAUUUUUGCAACAACCUGACUUAAGUGAUCAUCUCUCAUUCCAGUGAAAGUUCAGCUCACAAUAUGGAUGUACAAAGUGGAAGUUCUACAAGAUCGGAGGAGACAAGCCUCGCGAAUUCCAAAAUCCUGCAACAACUGUGAACUCUUUGAGCAGAUAAGCCUUUUGAAUCAAAAAAACCUACAUUGACUCCCAACACUAUGAGAAGGUGGCAUGUAGUACAGUACAUUCAGAAACUAAGCAAGCACGACGAAUUUCGGCUUUGUAGUAUAACACAUUCCAUGUAUUCAUGACCUUCGUCCUAAGUUACCGACCAUGGAAGGAAUACAAAUUGGUGUGACGAGUUUUGUGUCCCAAGUUCCAACUGCUAGAAGGCAUUGGAUCUUAUGCCAGAGGCAGACAGGUACCGAGACCUUGUUGACUGCAAAUUUCCCCCAAAACUCAAUAAUCGCAAUCUAGGUAGAAAGCAGAAUUUCAGAAUUCCCAACAAUUGUAGGUGUAUGUACAUCUAAAUAAACUCAAUAAAUGCGAUCUGAGCAUUGGAUGUAGGCUCUAACUACAGCCCCUAAAAUCGUAGAAUCCAUCUGAAUAUUGUGACACACACGUGCCAAUUAGCAGCAAGCAAAUUAAUCGUGUACACGGGAGGAGGAUGGAGCAUACUUACUUGCUCCUUCUCAGUAGGUGAGUGGUGACACUCUCCCUCCGGUGGCGAGCCGCGGCCCUUCUCGGCCUCUCAGGCAACACGGCUUCCG
rnacentral:lncRNA from 1 species